AAGUCCUUGGUGAAGCCCUAUAUAAAGUUAAUGGCCGAGCUGAUAAUUGUAGAACACACCCGUCUGCAGAACAGUUCUUGUCUUCACUUUCCAUUUUGACCAGUACUUCAUCAUGAAGGUCUUGGUUGCUCUGACUUUGUUGGGCCUGGUUGCAUGUGCUCUGGCCACUUACGGCAGUUACUAUUAUCCCUCAUCCUACCAGAAUUAUCGGUACCCCUACAGUCGUCACUAUGGAGACUACGGUUAUCCUGUCUCUUAUUCUCUGCCAUACGCAAAGAAAUAUGUCUCCCCAGUUUCCUAUGGUUCCUACCCAAUCAGCUACGGUUCAUAUGGAAGAUAUGGAUACGAUUAUGGCCACCUAGGAGGACAUUACGAACAUCCCCACGACUACUACUACUACAAAAAAUGAAGUUUGAAACGGAUCCUGUCUUCUACCAGUUGAUGAAACUGAAACCAUUUGUUAAACCGAAUUGACGACUAAAUAUACAACUUCAGAACAACAUCGUAUUGGUGCUAAAAAGCGUAAAACGAGAAGCAUGUUCAAAUGCAUUCUUCACUAUUUUUAUUCUUUUUGUUUAUUGAUGCAAUUCUUUUUAAAUGAAUAAACCAUGCUGAUUUAUGUGAAGUGUAUAAUAAAACAUGUUUUUACUAA